GGCGCGGGUAUUUGCUUGUGCUGGAUGUGACCCUGCAGGAAUACUUGACGCAGGCGACCCCGCUGUAAUUGGGAGACUUUUCCUGUCUCCUGUUAAUGUUGAGGAAGCGCUGUCCUACAAUCUGGGGAGGAGUUUAGAUGAAAUUGGAAUUUCUCGACCUUUGGCACUUUUAUCGUGCAAUCUGGCAACUAGAAAGUUGACACCUGAAUGUAAGGCAUUCCUUGAC